UUCAAGAAUUUUUUAAUAAAAAUGAAGUUUGUCUGUUAGUUUAUGUUUUGAUUGUUUCAAUUUCAAAAUUAUUCAGUGUUGUCCAUGUACUAGUUGUUAUAUAAAAAUUGUUGUCCUCUUUACGGUGUCUAGUAGCGACAUUUUAUCCUCCAACCAUUAUACAUAUUUAACUUACUAUUUUUUUUUUAGAUGGCAGUACAGCAGAUCAUUCAAUACACGCUGAGACAUGAAUUCACAUUUCUACCUCUAUGCUAAAUAUCAAUAUCCUACGUUGAAAAUGUACUUGACGAUACUGCUAAUAAUAAUGGUUUUGUGCAACGUGCGUGUAAUGGAUGGCAGUACAGCAGAUCACUCAAUACAUGCUGAGACAUGAAUUCACAUUUCUACCACUAUGCAAAAUAUCAACAUCCUACGUUGAAAAUGUACUAGACGAUACUGCUAAUAAUAAGGGUUUUGUGCAACAUGGCAGUACAGCAGAUCACUCAAUACAUGCUGAGACAUGAAUUCACAUUUCUACCACUAUGCAAAAUAUCAACAUCCUACGUUGAAAAUGUACUAGACGAUACUGCUAAUAAUAAGGGUUUUGUGCAACGUGCGUGUAAUGGAUGGCAGUACUGCAGAUCACCGGAGGCAUGCUGAGACAUGAAUUAGCAUUUCUAUCACUAGGGAAAGUUACAACAUUUUCCGUUGAAAAUGGAAUAGAAGAUGGCAGUAUAUCAGAUCAAUCAAGGCACGCUGAGACACGAAUUCACAUUUCUACCACCAAGGAAAGAAUCAACAUGCUAUGUUGAAAAUGGACUAGAAGAUACUGAUAAUAAUAUUGGAUUUAUGCAAUGUGCGUGCAAUGGUUAUUGAAUAUAAUUGAUUCUAAAUUAAUAGCUGUGAAACAUUUGAGAUUUGUUAAAUAUCUGAAUAAAAUAAUA